AGUCGCGCGCGUUCAGCACGCGGGAGGCCGCGGCACUUGUGGUGGGCGCCGGACGCCGCAUGCGCAUGGCCGAGCGGUCGAUGUGAGGCGUUAAGGUCUCGUUAGCCACGUUUGAAUCGCCGCUGACGAUCCGUACUCGCUUCAAACUCUUCGAAACAUCCCCGACACAUCCUUGCGCUCACCUUCCCGACGCACGAUUCCACCGCGGAGCGGACAAUAAUGCUGCGAGCCUUGCGCAUCCG
rnacentral:misc_RNA from 1 species